rnacentral:rRNA from 1 species
AGAGUUUGAUCCUGGCUCAGGAUGAACGCUAGCGGGAGGCUUAACACAUGCAAAUCUCACAUCCAACUUCUCACCUCACACUUCUCAGAUUAGUGGCGGACGGGUGAGUAACGCGUGGGCAACCUACCCAUAAGCGGGGGAUAACAGUUGGAAACGGCUGCUAAUACCGCAUAAGCUGUACAAUACGCAUGUUAAGUACAGUAAAGAUGGCCUCUUGACAAAGCUAUCACUUAUGGAUGGGCCCGCGUCUGAUUAGCUAGUUGGUAGGGUAGUGGCCUACCAAGGCAACGAUCAGUAGCCGGCCUGAGAGGGUGGACGGCCACACUGGGACUGAGACACGGCCCAGACUCCUACGGGAGGCAGCAGUGGGGAAUAUUGCGCAAUAGGGGAAACCCUGACGCAGCGACGCCGCGUGAGCGAAGAAGGCCUUAGGGUUGUAAAGCUCUGUUGUAAGGGAAGAAGAACUUAAGCGAGAAUAUUGUUUAAGAGUGACGGUACCUUACUAGAAAGCCCCGGCUAACUACGUGCCAGCAGCCGCGGUAAGACGUAGGGGGCGAGCGUUGUCCGGAAUUACUGGGCGUAAAGAGCACGUAGGCGGGAACCUAAGUCAGGUGUGAAAGACCGUGCUCAACCACGGGGUGGCAUUUGAAACUGGGUUUCUGAGGGCAGAGAGAAAGCAGAAUUCCUGGUGUAGCGGUGAAAUGCGUAGAAAUCAGGAGGAAUACCAGUGGCGAAGGCGGCUUUCUGGACUGACCCUGACGCUGAGGUGCGAAAGCGUGGGUAGCAAACAGGAUUAGAUACCCUGGUAGUCCACGCCGUAAACGAUGGAUACUAGGUGUGGGAGGUAUCGACCCCUUCCGUGCCGCAGCUAACGCAAUAAGUAUCCCGCCUGGGGAGUACGGUCGCAAGGCCGAAACUCAAAGGAAUUGACGGGGGCCCGCACAAGCGGUGGAGCAUGUGGUUUAAUUCGAUGCAACGCGAAGAACCUUACCAGGUCUUGACAUCCCACGAAUCCUCUUGAAAGGGAGGAGUGCCUUCGGGAGCGUGGCGACAGGUGGUGCAUGGUUGUCGUCAGCUCGUGUCGUGAGAUGUUGGGUUAAGUCCCGCAACGAGCGCAACCCUUGCUAUUAGUUGCUAACAGUUAAAGCUGAGCACUCUAAUGGGACUGCCGGUGACAAGCCGGAGGAAGGUGGGGAUGACGUCAAAUCAUCAUGCCCUUUAUGACCUGGGCUACACACGUGCUACAAUGGAUGGUACAGAGAGCGGCGAGGCAGUGAUGCGGAGCGAAUCUCAAAAAGCCAUUCUCAGUUCGGAUUGUAGUCUGCAACUCGACUACAUGAAGUCGGAAUCGCUAGUAAUCGCGAAUCAGCAAUAGUGCGGUGAAUACGUUCCCGGGCCUUGUACACACCGCCCGUCACGUCAUGGGAGCUGGCAACACCUGAAGCCGGUAUCCUAACCGUAAGGAGGGAGCCGUCGAAGGUGGGGCUGGUGACUGGGACGAAGUCGUAACAAGGUAAC